AGAGUUUGAUCAUGGCUCAGAUUGAACGCUGGCGGCAUGCCUUACACAUGCAAGUCGAACGGCAGCGCGGGAGCAAUCCUGGCGGCGAGUGGCGAACGGGUGAGUAAUACAUCGGAACGUGCCCAAUCGUGGGGGAUAACGCAGCGAAAGCUGUGCUAAUACCGCAUACGAUCUACGGAUGAAAGCAGGGGAUCGCAAGACCUUGCGCGAAUGGAGCGGCCGAUGGCAGAUUAGGUAGUUGGUGAGGUAAAGGCUCACCAAGCCUUCGAUCUGUAGCUGGUCUGAGAGGACGACCAGCCACACUGGGACUGAGACACGGCCCAGACUCCUACGGGAGGCAGCAGUGGGGAAUUUUGGACAAUGGGCGCAAGCCUGAUCCAGCCAUGCCGCGUGCAGGAUGAAGGCCUUCGGGUUGUAAACUGCUUUUGUACGGAACGAAACGGCCUUUUCUAAUAAAGAGGGCUAAUGACGGUACCGUAAGAAUAAGCACCGGCUAACUACGUGCCAGCAGCCGCGGUAAUACGUAGGGUGCAAGCGUUAAUCGGAAUUACUGGGCGUAAAGCGUGCGCAGGCGGUGAUGUAAGACAGUUGUGAAAUCCCCGGGCUCAACCUGGGAACUGCAUCUGUGACUGCAUCGCUGGAGUACGGCAGAGG
rnacentral:rRNA from 1 species